ensembl:lncRNA
AUGGAGAAAGAGGUCGCAGUUUUAGUCAGUGUACUUUGCAGUUGCAAGGAAAAGAAUCACUUCAAAGAAGCUUACGCAGGAAUCCCUCUGUGGCCUAGUGGCAUUAAACACAUUCCCCUCCGGUACAGAUGCAGCUCUGCAAACAAUCACGUCAUCUUCCAACAUUACCUGACUGUCAGAAAAACACGGAAAAAACAGCCCAGAAAAGAAAGCAAAUACUCAUGUGCCUACCAAGAACUUCCUGUCGUAUCAACAAUUUACUGUCUGGCUUUGGGCUAUUCAAUGUCCUGGCACCUACUACAGAGAAAGCAAUCCGAAACUUCCUUAUACACGUUUUUCCUGGAAAAGUACAACUGCUCACCACUGCCCAUCAAAUGACAAUGCUGACCAAACGCAGCACAACAAGCUUUAAUGUCGGCUUACAUGGGACACAGAGUCAAACAAGAGAGUUUGGGUGCAUUGGUGACUGAUUUGAGCACAGCUGCCCCAGCUGGAGCAGAGCACUGGGUGGGUGGGUGACUACAACCGCUGCAGACCCGUGGGAUCCAGGAGGGAAAGAGACAUUUUAAAGUUGGGUUUGGAGCCCAAAUUGUUUCUUGUCUUUUGGGAAAAUGUAGCCAGCCUUGAGUCUCAAGUGAAGUGGGCUUUAGCCCAUAGGGAGUUGCCUGCAACCGCCAGAACAAAGGGCCACGAAUUAGGGCCCUCUUGCCUCCCUCUCAUAAGGACCCUCUGAGGAUACUGGGCCCCCCAGAUGCCAGGAUCAUUUCCCAUCUCGAAAUGCUUAACUUAAUCAUACCUGCAAAGUCCCUUUGCCGUGUGAGGCCACACAUCCACAGGUCACGGGAUCAGGAUGUGGACACUCUCUCUGAUGGUGGAAUGUUCUAGAACUCCACCGUCCUCCAGGGCAGCCCUUGGACACACAUGGCCAUUGUGCACUUGAACUGUGUUCAGUGCAAUUGAGGGACUGAAUUUUCUUUCUUUUUUCUUUUUUUUGAAUUUUAUUUUCCUUAUUUUAUUAUUUUUUUAUACAGCAGGUUCCUAUUAGUUCUCUAUUUUAUACAUAUUAGUGUAUACAUGUCAAUCCCAAUCUCCCAAUUCAUCAUACCACCACCACCCUCCCCCGCUUUCCCCACUUGGUGUCCAUACGUUUGUUCUCUACAUCUGUGUCUCUGUUUCUGCCUUGCAAACCGGUUCGUCUGUACCAUUUUUGUAGAUUCCACAUAUAUGCGUUAAUAUACGAUAUUUGUUUUUCUCUUUCUUCACUCUGUAUGACAGUCUCUAGGUCCAUCCGUGUCCAAUUUUGUUGCUUUUAAUGGCUGAGUAAUAUUCCAUUGUAUAUAUGUACCACAUCUUCUUUAUCCAUUCCUCUGUUGAUGGGCAUUUAGGUUGCUUCCAUGACCUGGCUAUUGUAAAUAGUGCUGCAACGAACAUUGGGGUGCCUGUGUCUUUUUGAAUUAUGGUUUUCUCUGGGUAUAUGCCCAGAGGCGGGAUUGCUGGAUCAUAUGGUAAUUCUAUUUUUAGUUUUUUAAGGAACCUCCAUACUGUUCUCCAUAGUGGCUGUAUCAGUUUACAUUCCCCCCAGCAGUGCAGGAGGGUUCCCUUUUCUCCACACCCUCUCCAGCAUUUGUUGUUUGUAGAUUUUCUGAUGAUGCCCAUUCUCACUGGUGUGAGGUGAUACCUCAUUGUAGUGUUGAUUUGCAUUUCUCUAAUAAUUAGAGAAAUAAUAAUUAGUGAUGUUGACCAGCUUUUCAUGUGCCUCUUGACCAUCUGUAUGUUUCCUUUGGAGAAAUGUUUGUUUAGGUCUUCUGCCCAUUUUUAAAAAUUAAUUAAUUGAUUGAUGGAUUGAUUGAUUUUUGGCUGCAUUGGGUCUUGCUGUGCACAGGCUUUUUCUAGUUGUGGCAAGUGGGGGCUACUCUUCGUUGUGGUGCACGGGCUUCUCAUAGUGGUGGCUUCUCUUGUUGCAGAGCAUGGGCUCUAGGCACAUGGGCUCCAGUAGUUGUGGCAAGUGGGCUCAGUAGUUGUGGCUCGUGGGCUCUAGAGCGCAGGCUCAGGAGUCGUGGCACACGGGCUUAGUUGCUCCGUGGCAUGUGGGAUCCUCCCGCACCAGUGCUCAAACCCAUGUUCCCUGCAUUGGCAGGCAGACUCCCAACCACUGCGCCACCAGGGAAGUCCCUUCUGCCCAUUUUUUGAUGGGGUUGUUCAUUUUUUUAAUUCUGAGCUGUGUAAGCUGGUUAUAUAUUUUGGAGAUUAAUCCUUUGUCUGUUGAGUCGUUUGCAAAUAUUUUCUCCCAUUCUGAGGAUUGUCUUUUCGUCUUGUUUAUGGUUUCCUUUGCUGUGCAAAAGCUUUGAAGUUUCAUUAGGUCCCAUUUGUUUAUUUUUAUUUCCAUUACUCAAGGGGGUGGGUCAAAAAAUAUCUUGCUGUGAUUUAUGUCAAAGGGUGUUCUUCCUGUGUUUUAUAGUGUCCAGUCUUACAUUUAGGUCUUUAAUCCAUUUUGAGUUUAUUUUUGUGUAUGAUGCUAGGGAGUGUUCUAAUUUCAUUCUUUUACAUGUAGCUGUCCAGUUUUCCCAGCACCACUUACUGAAGAGACAGUCUUUUUUCCAUUGUAUAUCCUUGCCUCCCUUAUCAAAGAUAAGGUGACCAUAUGUGUGUGGGUUUAUCUCUUGGCUUUCUAUCCUGUUCCACUGAUCUAUAUUUGUUAUCUAUAUUUGUGCCAGUACCAUAUUGUCUUGAUUACUGUAGCUUUGUAGUAUAGUCUGAAGUCAGGGAGUCUGAUCCCUCCAGCUCCGUUUUUUUCCCUCAAGAUUGCUUUGGCUAUUCGGGGUCUUUUGAGGCUCCAUACAAAUUUUAAGUUUUUUUUGUUCUAGUUCUGUAAAAAAUGCCAUUGGUAAUUUGAUAGGGGUUGCAUUGAAUCUGUAGAUUGCUUUGGGUAGUAUAGACAUUUUCACAAUAUUGAUUCUUCCAAUCCAAGAACAUGGUAUAUCUCUCCAUCUGUUUGUGUCAUCUUUGAUUUCUUUCAUCAGUGUCUUAUAGUUUUCUGAGUAUGGGUCUUUUACCUCCUUAGGUAGGUUUAUUCCUAGGU